CAUGUUUGUUUAGUGUGGCGGUUUGACAACCAGGACCGGGUGAUGUCCAUGUUUGUUUAGUGUGGCGGUUUGACAACCAGGACCAGUUGAUGUCCAUGUUUGUUUAGUGUGGCGGUUUGACAACCAGGACCAGGUGAUGUCCAUGUUUGUUUAGUGUGGCGGUUUGACAACCAGGACCAGUUGAUGUCCAUGUUUGUUUAGUGUGGCGGUUUGACAACCAGGACCAGUUGAUGUCCAUGUUUGUUUAGUGUGGCGGUUUGACAACCAGGACCAGGUGAUGUCCAUGUUUGUUUAGUGUGGCGGUUUGACAACCAGGACCAGGUGAUGUCCAUGUUUGUUUAGUGUGGCGGUUUGACAACCAGGACCAGGUGAUGUCCAUGUUUGUUUAGUGUGGCGGUUUGACAACCAGGACCAGUUGAUGUCCAUGUUUGUUUAGUGUGGCAGUUUGAGAACCAGGACCAGUUGAUGUCUAUGUUUGUUUAGUGUGGCGGUUUGACAACCAGGACCAGGUGAUGUCCAUGUUUGUUUAGUGUGGCGGUUUGACAACCAGGACCAGUUGAUGUCCAUGUUUGUUUAGUGUGGCGGUUUGAGAACCAGGACCAGUUGAUGUCCAUGUUUGUUUAGUGUGGCGGUUUGACAACCAGGACCAGGUGAUGUCCAUGUUUGUUUAGUGUGGCGGUUUGAGAACCAGGACCAGUUGAUGUCCAUGUUUGUUUAGUGUGGCGGUUUGACAACCAGGACCAGGUGAUGUCCAUGUUUGUUUAGUGUGGCGGUUUGACAACCAGGACCAGUUGAUGUCCAUGUUUGUUUAGUGUGGCGGUUUGAGAACCAGGACCAGUUGAUGUCCAUGUUUGUUUAGUGUGGCGGUUUGACAACCAGGACCAGUUGAUGUCCAUGUUUGUUUAGUGUGGCGGUUUGACAACCAGGACCAGGUGAUGUCCAUGUUUGUUUAGUGUGGCAGUUUGACAACCAGGACCAGUUGAUGUCCAUGUUUGUUUAGUGUGGCGGUUUGACAACCAGGACCAGUUGAUGUCCAUGUUUGUUUAGUGUGGCGGUUUGACAACCAGAACCAGGUGAUGUCCAUGUUUGUUUAGUGUGGCAGUUUUACAACCAGGACCAGGUGAUGUCCAUGUUUGUUUAGUGUGGCGGUUUGACAACCAGGACCAGUUGAUGUCCAUGUUUGUUUAUUGUGGCGGUUUGACAACCAGGACCAGGUGAUGUCCAUGUUUGUUUAGUGUGGCGGUUUGACAACCAGGACCAGGUGAUGUCCAUGUUUGUUUAGUGUGGCGGUUUGACAACCAGGACCAGGUGAUGUCCAUGUUUGUUUAGUGUGGCAGUUUGACAACCAGGACCAGUUGAUGUCCAUGUUUGUUUAGUGUGGCGGUUUGACAACCAGGACCAGGUGAUGUCCAUGUUUGUUUAGUGUGGCGGUUUGACAACCAGGACCAGGUGAUGUCCAUGUUUGUUUAGUGUGGCAGUUUGACAACCAGGACCAGUUGAUGUCCAUGUUUGUUUAGUGUGGCGGUUUGACAACCAUGACCAGGUGAUGUCCAUGUUUGUUUAGUGUGGCGGUUUGAGAACCAGGACCAGGUGAUGUCCAUGUUUGUUUAGUGUGGCAGUUUGACAACCAGGACCAGUUGAUGUCCAUGUUUGUUUAGUGUGGCGGUUUGACAACCAGGACCAGGUGAUGUCCAUGUUUGUUUAGUGUGGCGGUUUGACAACCAGGACCAGGUGAUGUCCAUGUUUGUUUAGUGUGGCGGUUUGACAACCAGGACCAGGUGAUGUCCAUGUUUGUUUAGUGUGGCGGUUUGACAACCAGGACCAGGUGAUGUCCAUGUUUGUUUAGUGUGGCGGUUUGACAACCAGGACCAGGUGAUGUCCAUGUUUGUUUAGUGUGGCGGUUUGACAACCAGGACCAGGUGAUGUCCAUGUUUGUUUAGUGUGGCGGUUUGACAACCAGGACUAGGUGAUGUCCAUGUUUGUUUAGUGUGGCGGUUUGACAACCAGGACCAGUUGAUG